rnacentral:rRNA from 1 species
UUGGAGGGCAAGUCUGGUGCCAGCAGCCGCGGUAAUUCCAGCUCCAAUAGCGUAUAUUAAAGUUGUUGCAGUUAAAAAGCUCGUAGUUGAAUUUCGGGGUUAGUAGGCUGGUCGUGCCACAGGUAUGCACUGGUCUUACUGAUUCCUCCUUCCUGAUGAACCGUAAUGCCAUUAAUUUGGUGUUGCGGGGAGUCUGGACUGUUACUUUGAAAAAAUUAGAGUGUUUAAAGCAGGCUAACGCUUGAAUACAUUAGCAUGGAAUAACGAAAUAGGACGUUCGAUCCUAUUUUGUUGGUUUCUAGGAUUGCCGUAAUGAUUAAUAGGGAUAGUUGGGGGCAUUAGUAUUCAAUUGUCAGAGGUGAAAUUCUUGGAUUUAUUGAAGACUAACUACUGCGAAAGCAUUUGCCAAGGAUGUUUUCAUUAAUCAAGAACGAAAGUUAGGGGAUCGAAGACGAUCAGAUACCGUCGUAGUCUUAACCAUAAACUAUGCCGACUAGGGAUCGGAUGAUGUUAAUUUUUUAAUGACUCAUUCGGCGCCUUACGGGAAAC